AGAGUUUGAUCCUGGCUCAGGAUGAACGCUGGCGGCGUGCUUAACACAUGCAAGUCGAACGAAGCAUUUAGGAUUGAAGUUUUCGGAUGGAUUUCCUAUAUGACUGAGUGGCGGACGGGUGAGUAACGCGUGGGGAACCUGCCCUAUACAGGGGGAUAACAGCUGGAAACGGCUGCUAAUACCGCAUAAGCGCACAGAAUCGCAUGAUUCAGUGUGAAAAGCCCUGGCAGUAUAGGAUGGUCCCGCGUCUGAUUAGCUGGUUGGUGAGGUAACGGCUCACCAAGGCGACGAUCAGUAGCCGGCUUGAGAGAGUGAACGGCCACAUUGGGACUGAGACACGGCCCAAACUCCUACGGGAGGCAGCAGUGGGGAAUAUUGCACAAUGGGGGAAACCCUGAUGCAGCGACGCCGCGUGAGUGAAGAAGUAUUUCGGUAUGUAAAGCUCUAUCAGCAGGGAAGAAAAUGACGGUACCUGACUAAGAAGCCCCGGCUAACUACGUGCCAGCAGCCGCGGUAAUACGUAGGGGGCAAGCGUUAUCCGGAUUUACUGGGUGUAAAGGGAGCGUAGACGGUAAAGCAAGUCUGAAGUGAAAGCCCGCGGCUCAACUGCGGGACUGCUUUGGAAACUGUUUAACUGGAGUGUCGGAGAGGUAAGCGGAAUUCCUAGUGUAGCGGUGAAAUGCGUAGAUAUUAGGAGGAACACCAGUGGCGAAGGCGGCUUACUGGACGAUCACUGACGUUGAGGCUCGAAAGCGUGGGGAGCAAACAGGAUUAGAUACCCUGGUAGUCCACGCCGUAAACGAU
rnacentral:rRNA from 1 species